AUUAAUACGAUAAACAUAUUUUCAAUACAUCUCUCCAUAUUAUAAUUUAAAUAUUACAAAUCAUCAUAAUAAAGCACCGCUAACCUUUCAUGUUCCUUCCAGUUUUUUUUUAUACCUACAUACACUUUUAAAAUGUAUAUUUAUUUGACCUAGUGUAUACUAAAAUCUUAUGUUUAAUGAUAUAUUAGCAAAUAAAAUCAAAAUAGGCGAGCUUAAAGAAUAUCCACUGAAUGCGUUUGUUCUUAAUUAUUAUUCGCCUGACAAUGAUAAAGAAAACUUUAGAACAACAUCAGAAUUUUGUAAAAACUACAGCAUUAAGUCCUUCCUUUAAAGAUUGAUGAAAAAAUAAACAAAAGUUGUGCAAAAAAGGUA